rnacentral:lncRNA from 1 species
CUGACAUAGCGUGGGCCAAUAUUUAACUACCUCCAGCACCCUAGCAAACUCAAAGCCCUUCCCAGACUUCUGUGCCUCAAUUUCCAUGUGAUAGAUUUCCCCCAGCUUACAGUGCUGCCAUGAAGACAAAUACCAUGGAGUCUGGAUGAUGUUCAAAUAUCACCAGAAACCCCUGCAAGAAAAUAUGUUGAGCCACUUUCUCUGCUACACCACCCCAAAGACAAAUACAAAAACUAAAGACCUGGAGCCACUCAUUCCUGAGGUCCUGUAUAAAGUUUCCAUGGGUUUUAUCUCAGGAUUCUGCUCUCAGGAGAUGGGACCAGAAAUAAGGAACUGCAGUGCUGGGGAUGAGAGUGCAUACAGUGCAUACAUCAUUUACAGUGGCAUCCCUGAGAUCUCUCGAAGUGCUUCAAUUCAAUGGCAGAGGUACCUAAAAAUACAGCAAUUUCAUCUGCAGAAUGAGUUUGUUACCUAGCAGCAGUGAUGCCCCACCUCAGCUACUGAAGAUGGAUGAAAUGUAAGGGGCAACGCUGGUAGAGGCCUGAAUCAGCACAGGAAGAUGCACUGAGAGGUUCCUCACAAAUGAAAAACACUUUCAACUCUGUGGCAUAUGUAUCAGCAGAUUGCAAAUUCAUGUGCUGGAGAGGCUCCCAAAACAAUCUCACAAAGACUGCUGAGCACCAAUGAAAGGGCAACAGUGGCUGGUAUUUGAAUCCAGCCAGCCCACUGAAGUGUGGGGUAUUUUUCUUCCUUUCCUCUUUCUCUGCAUGGAAAAGAAAGAACACGAAUCUCUCUGAACAGGGAGAAUAAGGAGCAACAUUUUCCAUUCUAGCCUAUUAAUUUCCACAAACUAACAGGAGCCUUGAGGAACAGAGAGAGAAAAAAAUACCAAGUGACAUUAUCCUUCUACCAGUAUUUUUGCAAUGAGGUGGCACUCUGAGACAUUAAUAUCAUUGCUGAAAAGGAUUUUAAGCAACGCACAACUGUGUGAGAUCACUUGCAAAUUGCACUGUUGCCUAUAUUGGUUGAAGCUUGUGCUCCUCUAUCUUACUGAGUGAAAACUGAAAGACCUGGGGGCUGCCACUUGCAUCAGUCAAGGGAAAGCUUUCUUUCCUAUUCUCUUAAAGAUACAGCCUAAGAAAAAACUAUUAAAAAAUACUAAAAUACUGUAUCAAGCCUCCCUAGGCUGGAGGAAUGAUACAGCAAUUCUAGUCACAUUUUAAAAAUCAAUCAGUUUAUGAGUCAGAAUAAUUGGAAAAGGAUUCUUUCAAAAGUGCAACUAGCUGCCACCUUAUUGUAACCAUUUGGCCCACAGAAAAGAAAUAGCAUUGAAACUUCCAAACCAGUGCUGUGUUAGCAGUGCAGCCACAUUCCAUGAUGGAUGUGAACCCCAGUCCAAAAUGUAGCUAUAAGUUGAUGAGUUGGAACAUCAGGGAGUAGUAAACACUUCAAAUUCAUUUUCCCAUAGACACAAG